rnacentral:ncRNA from 2 species
GAUGCCCUAGGGCUCCCCGGGACACUAACAGCACCUGCGCCCCGGGGAGAGUGCGCCGAGCUCCCUAAGGGCUGCAGCGCGCAUGGCUGGACCGGGAGCAGCUCGGAGGGGCUCG